rnacentral:rRNA from 1 species
GUGGGGAAUCUUGCGCAAUGGGCGAAAGCCUGACGCAGCCAUGCCGCGUGAAUGAUGACGGUCUUAGGAUUGUAAAAUUCUUUCACCGGGGACGAUAAUGACGGUACCCGGAGAAGAAGCUCCGGCUAACUUCGUGCCAGCAGCCGCGGUAAUACGAAGGGGGCUAGCGUUGCUCGGAAUUACUGGGCGUAAAGGGCGCGUAGGCGGACAGCUUAGUCAGAGGUGAAAGCCCAGGGCUCAACCUUGGAAUUGCCUUUGAUACUGGCUGUCUUGAGAUUGGGAGAGGUGAGUGGAACUCCGAGUGUAGAGGUGAAAUUCGUAGAUAUUCGGAAGAACACCAGUGGCGAAGGCGACUCACUGGCCCAAUACUGACGCUGAGGCGCGAAAGCGUGGGGAGCAAACAGGAUUAGAAACCCUUGUAGUCC